rnacentral:rRNA from 1 species
GAUGAACGCUGGCGGCGUGCCUAAUACAUGCAAGUCGAGCGAACAGACGAGGAUCUUGCUCCUCUGACGUUAGCGGCGGACGGGUGAGUAACACGUGUAUAACCUACCUAUAAGACUGGGAUAACUUCGGGAAACCGGAUCUAAUACCGGAUAAUAUAUUGAACCGCAUGGUUCAAUAGUGAAAGACGGUUUUGCUGGCACUUAUAGAUGUAUCCGCGCCGCAUUAGCUAGUUGGUAAGGUAACGGCUUACCAAGGCGACGAUGCGUAGCCGACCUGAGAGGGUGAUAGGCCACACUGGAACUGAGACACGGUCCAGACUACUACGGGAGGCAGCAGUAGGGAAUCUUCCGCAAUGGGCGAAAGCAUGACGGAGCAAGGCCGCGUGAGUGAUGAAGGUCUUCGGAUCGUAAAACUCUGUUAUUAGGGAAGAACAAAUGUGUAAGUAAAUAUGCACGUCUUGACGGUACCUAAUCAGAAAGCAACGGCUAACUACGUG